rnacentral:rRNA from 1 species
AUACGAAGGGUGCGAGCGUUAAUCGGAAUUACUGGGCGUAAAGCGCGCGUAGGCGGUUGGAUAAGUCGGAUGUGAAAGCCCCGGGCUCAACCUGGGAAUUGCAUUCGAAACUGUCCGGCUAGAGUAUGAUAGAGGGAAGCGGAAUUCCACAUGUAGCGGUGAAAUGCGUAGAUAUGUGGAGGAACACCAGUGGCGAAGGCGGCUUCCUGGACCAAUACUGACGCUGAGGUGCGAAAGCGUGGGGAGCAAACAGAAUUAGAUACCCUAGUAGUCC